CCUACGGGAGGCAGCAGUGAGGAAUAUUGGUCAAUGGGCGAGAGCCUGAACCAGCCAAGCCGCGUGAAGGAGGACUGUCCUAAGGGUUGUAAACUUCUUUUAUAAGGGAAUAAAGUGAGGCACGCGUGCCUUUUUGUAUGUACUUUAUGAAUAAGCAUCGGCUAACUCCGUGCCAGCAGCCGCGGUAAUACGGAGGAUGCGAGCGUUAUCCGGAUUUAUUGGGUUUAAAGGGUGCGUAGAUGGGUUGUUAAGUCAGUUGUGAAAGUUUGCGGCUCAACCGUAGAAUCGCAAUUGAUACUGGCAGCCUUGAGUUGAGUUGAGGUAGGCGGAAUUCGUGGUGUAGCGGUGAAAUGCUUAGAUAUCACGAAGAACUCCGAUUGCGAAGGCAGCCUACUAA
rnacentral:rRNA from 1 species